rnacentral:rRNA from 1 species
GCUUAACACAUGCAAGUCGAGGGGCAGCAUGGUCUUAGCUUGCUAAGGCCGAUGGCGACCGGCGCACGGGUGAGUAACGCGUAUCCAACCUGCCUUACACUCUUGGACAGCCUUCUGAAAGGGAGAUUAAUACAAGAUGUUAUCAUGAGUAAGCAUUUUCGCAUGAUUAAAGGUUUACCGGUGUAAGAUGGGGAUGCGUUCCAUUAGAUAGUAGGCGGGGUAACGACCCACCUAGUCUUCGAUGGAUAGGGGUUCUGAGAGGAAGGUCCCCCACAUUGGAACUGAGACACGGUCCAAACUCCUACGGGAGGCAGCAGUGAGGAAUAUUGGUCAAUGGACGAGAGUCUGAACCAGCCAAGUAGCGUGAAGGAUGAAGGUUCUAUGGAUUGUAAACUUCUUUUAUACGGGAAUAAACGGAUCCACGUGUGGAUUUUUGCAUGUACCGUAUGAAUAAGGAUCGGCUAACUCCGUGCCAGCAGCCGCGGUAAUACGGAGGAUCCGAGCGUUAUCCGGAUUUAUUGGGUUUAAAGGGAGCGUAGAUGGGUUGUUAAGUCAGUUGUGAAAGUUUGCGGCUCAACCGUAAAAUUGCAAUUGAUACUGGCAGUCUUGAGUACAGUUGAGGUAGGCGGAAUUCGUGGUGUAGCGGUGAAAUGCUUAGAUAUCACGAAGAACUCCGAUUGCGAAGGCAGCUUACUAACCUGUAACUGACAUUGAUGCUCGAAAGUGUGGGUAUCAAACAGGAUUAGAUACCCUGGUAGUCCACACGGUAAACGAUGAAUACUCGCUGUAGGCGAUAUACAGUCUGCGGCCAAGCGAAAGCAUUAAGUAUUCCACCUGGGGAGUACGCCGGCAACGGUGAAACUCAAAGGAAUUGACGGGGGCCCGCACAAGCGGAGGAACAUGUGGUUUAAUUCGAUGAUACGCGAGGAACCUUACCCGGGCUUAAAUUGCAACCGAAUAUGGCGGAAACGCUAUAGCUAGCAAUAGCGGUUGUGAAGGUGCUGCAUGGUUGUCGUCAGCUCGUGCCGUGAGGUGUCGGCUUAAGUGCCAUAACGAGCGCAACCCUUGCCGAUAGUUACUAACAGGUUAUGCUGAGGACUCUGUCGGGACUGCCAUCGUAAGAUGUGAGGAAGGUGGGGAUGACGUCAAAUCAGCACGGCCCUUACGUCCGGGGCUACACACGUGUUACAAUGGGGGGUACAGAGGGCUGCUACCACGCAAGUGGAUGCCAAUCCCAAAAACCUCUCUCAGUUCGGAUUGAAGUCUGCAACCCGACUUCAUGAAGCUGGAUUCGCUAGUAAUCGCGCAUCAGCCACGGCGCGGUGAAUACGUUCCCGGGCCUUGUACACACCGCCCGUCAAGCCAUGGGAGCCGGGGGUACCUGAAGUGCGUAACCGCAAGGAGCGCCCUAGGGUAAAACUGGUGACUGGGGCUAAGUCGU